UGGGGAAUAUUGCGCAAUGGGGGAAACCCUGACGCAGCAACGCCGCGUGAAGGAAGAAGGUUUUCGGAUUGUAAACUUCUUUUGUUAGGGAAGAAAAUGACGGUACCUAACGAAUAAGCUCCGGCUAACUACGUGCCAGCAGCCGCGGUAAUACGUAGGGAGCAAGCGUUAUCCGGAUUUACUGGGUGUAAAGGGCGAGUAGGCGGGACUGCAAGUCAGAUGUGAAAACUAUGGGCUUAACCCAUAGACUGCAUUUGAAACUGUGGUUCUUGAGUGAUGGAGAGGCAGGCGGAAUUCCUAGUGUAGCGGUGAAAUGCGUAGAUAUUAGGAGGAACACCAGUGGCGAAGGCGGCCUGCUGGACAUUAACUGACGCUGAGGCGCGAAAGCGUGGGGAGCAAACA
rnacentral:rRNA from 1 species